rnacentral:tRNA from 1 species
GCGGAUGUAGUUCAAUGGUAGAACUCCAGCUUCCCAAGCUGGUAGCGCGGGUUCGAUUCCCGUCAUCCGCUCCA